rnacentral:rRNA from 1 species
CCUACGGGAGGCAGCAGUGAGGAAUAUUGGACAAUGGGCGCAAGCCUGAUCCAGCCAUGCCGCGUGCAGGAAGAAGCAUCUAUGGUGUGUAAACUGCUUUUGUACAGGAAGAAACACUCCCUCGUGAGGGAGCUUGACGGUACUGUAAGAAUAAGGACCGGCUAACUCCGUGCCAGCAGCCGCGGUAAUACGGAGGGUCCGAGCGUUAUCCGGAAUCAUUGGGUUUAAAGGGUCCGUAGGCGGUUUAAUAAGUCAGUGGUGAAAUCUGGUCGCUCAACGAUCAAACGGCCAUUGAUACUGUUAGACUUGAAUUAUAAGGAAGUAACUAGAAUAUGUAGUGUAGCGGUGAAAUGCUUAGAUAUUACAUGGAAUACCAAUUGCGAAGGCAGGUUACUACUUAUGGAUUGACGCUGAUGGACGAAAGCGUGGGGAGCGAACAGGAUUAGAUACCCUGGUAGUCCACGCCGUAAACGAUGGAUACUAGCUGUUCGGAGCAAUCUGAGUGGCUAAGCGAAAGUGAUAAGUAUCCCACCUGGGGAGUACGUUCGCAAGAAGAGAAGUAAGUAAGUAGAGCGNGAGAGAGCGAGACGACGACGAGGGAGGAGG